CGAGGAGCUGCCGAGAUCUCUCACAGGGUAUCCUCUGCCGCACCUAUCCCGGGCUUUAAUGAGUGUCCAAGGAGUUUGGGUACGGAUAUGGGGACGGCUUCAGAAGUAUCCAGGCACAUGAAUCUGCCAGUCCUUGAAAGGAAAAACUGCGUUCUUCCCUGGCUAUUGUGUUUCUCAAUGUUCUCAAAUGGAUUUGAUGGCACGUGAAAAUUUGCUUCGUCUUUGCAAUUUCUUAAGAGAUCGGUGGGUCUGUACCAAGGUGACGCUAAAGUCAGCCACCACACAAGUAUCUUUUACCUGCUAGCGGACAUGGAAAUUUUUGUGUUGCUCCAACCGACGUUUUUAAUUAUAUGUACGGAGAAUCUUGGUUUAGUCGUUGGCUCAAUGCCUCUUUGCAGAAUUUAAAAGCUUUUAAAGCUGAAUCUAUUCAAUUUUGAUAAAUGUAAGCAAAAGUAUAGCCAAUAAUUCUUAUCAUUUUUGUGCACGUGUUGCUUGCACUUCACCUAUGUUUCUUGUUUGUGCCUUCUGAUAAAACCGUCUGCCUUCUAGAUUUCAUUUUUAUCCAAAUACCGUGUGUAUCCGUUGUAGUACUUAUCUAUCAUAGUAUUUCAUGCUAGUAUCUCAAG